rnacentral:lncRNA from 1 species
GACCAAAAUGCGAAGGUUGGGAAACUUAAUACAGAACAUGAAAGAGCUAUGGGAAAAGAAGGUCAUGGUGUGAUGAAUGAAAAUGGAGAGAGACUGGCAAGUAUGUGUUCUACUAAUGGAUUAGUAAUUGGAGGAACCCUAUUUAAGCAUAAAGACAUACACAAAAUCACGUGGAAUUCUCCAAACAACAGGGACAAAAAUCAGAUUGACCACAUCAUCAUAAAU